CAGUAGCCGCGGUAAUACGAGGGGGGCAAGCGUUGUUCGGAUUUAUUGGGCGUAAAGGGUGCGUAGGCGGAUUGUACAGUCAGACGUGAAAUUCCUGGGCUCAACCUGGGGACUGCGUUUGAGACGUGCGAUCUAGAGUUUGGAAGAGGGUCGUGGAAUUCCCAGUGUAGAGGUGAAAUUCGUAGAUAUUGGGAAGAACACCGGUGGCGAAGGCGGCGACCUGGUCCUUGACUGACGCUGAGGCGCGAAAGCGUGGGGAGCAAACAGGAUUAGAUACCCCUGUAGUCCCUGUCUCUUACAC
rnacentral:rRNA from 1 species